AUUGAACGCUGGCGGCAGGCCUAACACAUGCAAGUCGAGCGGAUGAAGGGAGCUUGCUCCUGGAUUCAGCGGCGGACGGGUGAGUAAUGCCUAGGAAUCUGCCUGGUAGUGGGGGAUAACGUCCGGAAACGGGCGCUAAUACCGCAUACGUCCUGAGGGAGAAAGUGGGGGAUCUUCGGACCUCCCGCUCUCAGCUGAGCCUAGGUCGGAUUAGCUAGUUGGUGGGGUAAAGGCCUACCAAGGCGACGAUCCGUAACUGGUCUGAGAGGAUGAUCAGUCACACUGGAACUGAGACACGGUCCAGACUCCUACGGGAGGCAGCAGUGGGGAAUAUUGGACAAUGGGCGAAAGCCUGAUCCAGCCAUGCCGCGUGUGUGAAGAAGGUCUUCGGAUUGUAAAGCACUUUAAGUUGGGAGGAAGGGCAGUAAGUUAAUACCUUGCUGUUUUGACGUUACCAACAGAAUAAGCACCGGCUAACUUCGUG
rnacentral:rRNA from 1 species